rnacentral:rRNA from 1 species
CCUGGCCUUGACAUACUAAGAACUUUCCAGAGAUGGAUUGGUGCCUUCGGGAACUUAGAUACAGGUGCUGCAUGGCUGUCGUCAGCUCGUGUCGUGAGAUGUUGGGUUAAGUCCCGCAACGAGCCGCAACCCUUUUCCUUAUUGCCAGCGGGUUAAGCCGGGAACUUUAAGGAUACUGCCAGUGACAAACUGGAGGAAGGCGGGGACGACGUCAAGUCAUCAUGGCCCUUACGGCCAGGGCUACACACGUGCUACAAUGGUCGGUACAAAGGGUUGCUACCUCGCGAGAGGAUGCUAAUCUCAAAAAGCCGAUCGUAGUCCGGAUCGCAGUCUGCAACUCGACUGCGUGAAGUCGGAAUCGCUAGUAAUCGCGGAUCAGAAUGCCGCGGUGAAUACGUUCCCGGGCCUUGUACACACCGCCCGUCACACCAUGGGAGUUUGUUGCACCAGAAGUAGGUAGUCUAACCGCAAGGAGGACGCUUACCACGGUGUGGCCGAUGACUGGGGUGAAGUCGUAACAAGGUAGGCGUAGAUGA